UUUUGGGGCUUUGAGUUAGAGAAACCUGGGUAGUGAUGGAGCAUAUUAAGGGUGGAUCACUGGACAAGUAAUUUUAUAUCUGUGAUGCAGAGGUAAGUAAUAGUACUCGACGUAAAAGGAUGUGGUGAGAAAUGUAUUUAGAACACGAAUGUAGUAUCUAGCACGCGCUAAAUGUGCAAUGUCAGCUAUCACAACUGUUCCUAUUUAAAAGGCGUUCCUAUUUAAAAUAUUCCCUGUUUAAAAGCAAGCUGGUGCUGGUGUGUAUGCUGGGGGUUGGUGGUGGUAGAAA
rnacentral:lncRNA from 1 species